rnacentral:snRNA from 1 species
AUCGCUUCUCGGCCUUUUGGCUAAGAUCAAGUGUAUUAUAUUUGUACUUCAUCAUAAAACAAAAAAUUUUAGGUCUCUAAAACACACCCUCC